rnacentral:tRNA from 1 species
UUUCUUCAGAUGAUGAUCCCAAGCCUUCUGGCGAUCUCUUAAAAUAAAGCCUAGCCUGCUUUAAAAAAACGGGCGUUUAGAUACUCUUUAAAUUCUUAUGAAUCUUAAAGAGUAUGAAUUAAAAAAAGGCUUUAUGAAGAAAGCACUUUAAGCUUUUCCAACGAUUUAAGAUGAUACCGGGGAAGGUUUUUCCGGUUUAUCCCGGAGGGCUUGUAGCUCAGUUGGUUAGAGCGCGCGCUUGAUAAGCGUGAGGUCGGAGGUUCAAGUCCUCCCAGGCCCACCAAUUUAUGCUCGUUUUUUGCUUAUCUUGAGCCUUAUGAAGCUUAAGCGUGUCAAAGCCUCUUUAAUCUUUGUUCAUAGUUUAAAGAUUUAAUUUUAACGUCCCUUCAAGGGUGCAGAUAAAUUUAAAGAAUAAAAAUCAAAUUUAAGCAAUACAAAUCAAAAUAAUAUUGAUUAAAAGAGGAUUAAAAGAGGACAAGUCAUUCAAGUUGAUCAAUUUUCUUGAGAUUGAUUUGAGAGAGCAUUCUUUAGGGGCCGUAGCUCAGCUGGGAGAGCACCUGCUUUGCAAGCAGGGGGUCGUCGGUUCGAUCCCGUCCGGCUCCACCAUUUUAGGUCAUCAUCAUGUUGUAAGAACACGGUUUAGUGAGAGGUUUUUUUACCCUUUUGCUUGUUCUAUUGAAAUUG